UGGUCUCGCGUCCAAUUAGCUAGUUGGUGAGGUAACGGCCCACCAAGGCGACGAUUGGUAGCCGGACUGAGAGGUUGAACGGCCACAUUGGGACUGAGACACGGCCCAGACUCCUACGGGAGGCAGCAGUGGGGGAUAUUGCACAAUGGGGGAAACCCUGAUGCAGCGACGCCGCGUGGAGGAAGAAGGUUUUCGGAUUGUAAACUCCUGUCGUUAGGGACGAUAAUGACGGUACCUAACAAGAAAGCACCGGCUAACUACGUGCCAGCAGCCGCGGUAAAACGUAGAGUGCAAGCGUUGUCCGGAAUUACUGGGUGUAAAGGGAGCGCAGGCGGGAAGACAAGUUGGAAGUGAAAACCAUGGGCUCAACCCAUGAAUUGCUUUCAAAACUGUUUUUCUUGAGUAGUGCAGAGGUAGAUGGAAUUCCCGGUGUAGCGGUGGAAUGCGUAGAUAUUAGGAGGAACACCAGUGGCGAAAGGCGGCUUUCUGGACUGUAACUGACGUUGAGGCACGAAAGUGUGGGGAGCAAACAGGAUUAGAUACCCUGGUAGUCCACACCGUAAACGAUGGAUACUAGGUG
rnacentral:rRNA from 1 species